GGAUACUGUGACGCAGAUGGUCGCGCACCUGCAUGGCAUGCAGGGGGCUAGGGGAUCGAGUCCCCUCAGCUCCACCA
rnacentral:tRNA from 1 species